GGCCAGUUAGCUCAGUGGUUUGAGCUCGGUGCUGACAACAAUGACAACACCGAGAUCACAAGUUCAAUUCCUG
rnacentral:tRNA from 1 species